CGUAGGUGGCAAGCGUUGUCCGGAAUUAUUGGGCUUAAAGCGCGCGCAGGCGGCCUCUUAAGUCUGAUGUGAAAGCCCCCGGCUCAACCGGGGAGGGCCAUUGGAAACUGGGAGGCUUGAGUAUAGGAGAGAAGAGUGGAAUUCCACGUGUAGCGGUGAAAUGCGUAGAGAUGUGGAGGAACACCAGUGGCGAAGGCGACUCUUUGGCCUAUAACUGACGCUGAGGCGCGAAAGCGUGGGGAGCAAACAGG
rnacentral:rRNA from 1 species